AGGCAAUGUAGUCUUAUUCUUUAAACAAUUACUCCUUAUUCUUCCAUUUGACUAAAUAUUUUGUGUUUAGAUUUCUUUAGAAUUUCCUUUAAAAAUGGAAGUAAAACCACUGCUAGCUGGAAGGUUUAUGAGUUGCAUUUCUUCAGCUGCAGCAUAAAAGACUUCAGGAGCAUACAUCUCUGAAGAGCAAAGAAUUUGCUGUAGUUCCUCAAAGAAUCAUUUCAGAAAUAUUUUGAUUAUAUACCAAAAGUGAAAGUUGGGAAUCUACCUCAAAAACUAUCAUGCUGCUCCAAACUUCGAAAAUAACAGUAUUUUGCAGUAAGCAAAUGCGUGCUGUUACGUUAGGAAGAAUGAUUCUGUUUUCACUGUGGUGGUGGUGGGAAACUGGCUUUUGUUAGUCAAUAUAGAUAAUCAGUGCUCUGAAUCAAGCUGAUAGAUACUAAUCAGCCAUAUAGCAUUUCACAAGUACGUAUUUGCUCUGCAAAAACUGGAAGUUUUGCAUAGUUCUGCUUUGUGGAACCUCACACCACCCUAAAAAUGCACUCAACCGCCUUUUUGGGAAGGGCGGUCAGUGAAAAUGGGGUGUUAGCAGUUAGUGUCUAGAUAGGGUUGAUAUUUUCUUGCUGUUUGUAGCUAUAGAUGUUGUUCUUGUCUAUAGCAAUUAAUAGUAUAUAUGUACAGAAUUUUAGAUGUUCAGGUAGGUGAUGGUACCAUAUGUGCCGCUGGAGAUGUCUGAUGGGUCCACCUCUCUUGACAGUCUGUGGCUUAUGGACUCUAGGGAGCAUGAAAAUUCUUAUCAUUUGAAUUAAAAGAUUCACUUUUCCAAUUAAGACAUCUUAGCUGCUCAGAACACAACCGUGUUGAUACUAGUCCCACAGCCGUGAUGGUACCAGUCUGGAAAACUUCUCCAGGCAAGUAUAAGCAA